UACGUAGGGUGCGAGCGUUGUCCGGAAUUAUUGGGCGUAAAGAGCUCGUAGGCGGUUUGUCGCGUCUAUCGUGAAAACUGGAGGCUUAACCUUCAGCUUGCGGUGGAUACGGGCAGACUUGAGUUCGGUAGGGGAGACUGGAAUUCCUGGUGUAGCGGUGAAAUGCGCAGAUAUCAGGAGGAACACCGGUGGCGAAGGCGGGUCUCUGGGCCGAUACUGACGCUGAGGAGCGAAAGCGUGGGGAGCGAACAGG
rnacentral:rRNA from 1 species